rnacentral:rRNA from 1 species
GACGAACGCUGGCGGCGUGCUUAACACAUGCAAGUCGAGCGGUAAGGCCCUUUCGGGGGUACACGAGCGGCGAACGGGUGAGUAACACGUGGGUGACCUGCCCUCAGCUCUGGGAUAAGCCUGGGAAACCGGGUCUAAUACCGGAUAUGACUCCAUGACGCAUGUUGUGGGGUGGAAAGCCUUGUGCGGCUGAGGAUGGGCCCGCGGCCUAUCAGCUUGUUGGUGGGGUGAUGGCCUACCAAGGCGACGACGGGUAGCCGGCCUGAGAGGGCGACCGGCCACACU